UGAGUAACCUGCCCUUAACUCUGGGAUAAGCCUGGGAAACUGGGUCUAAUACCGGAUAUGAUCAUGCGCCUCCUGGUGUGUGGUGGAAAGUUCUUCGGCUGAGGAUGGGCCCGCGGCCUAUCAGCUUGUUGGUGGGGUGGUGGCCUACCAAGGCGACGACGGGUAGCCGGCCUGAGAGGGUGACCGGCCACACUGGGACUGAGACACGGCCCAGACUCCUACGGGAGGCAG
rnacentral:rRNA from 1 species